CUCCAUAACAACUUCUUUCUCAGCAUUCAGUUCAUCGGGGGGCGAGCCACCAUUUGCUAGCGGCCUUCUCCAGCAUCAUCCGUCCGGGGAGCACCAUCUCCAACUGCAUCUCCAGCAUCGUACAUCGGGUGAGUAGCAUCUCCAACACCAUCUACAGAAUCGUUCAUCAGGGGAGCACCAUCUCCAAAAUCUUCUCCACCAUCAUCCAUCGAUAAAGCAGCAUCUACAGUAGCUUCUCAAGCAUCGUUCAUCUGGGUACACCAAUCUCCAUCAGCUUUCUCCACCAUCAUCCGUCGGGAGCACCGUCCCAACUGCAUCUCCAACAUCGUAAAUCGGGGGAGGACAUCUGAAGCCGCUUCUCCAGCAUCGUUUCAUCGGGGGGCACCAUCGCCUACUGCCCUUCUUCAGCAUUGUUCAUCGGGGGAGCACUGUCUCCAACUGCAUCUCCAACAUCGUACAUCGAAGCAGUAGCAUCUCCAGCACCUUCUCCAGCAUCGUUCAUCAGGGGAGCACCAUAUCCAGUAGCUUCUACGCAUCAAAUCCGUCGGCGGGCAGCACUUCUCCAGAACUUGCUCUCCAGGCAUUCGUUCAUCGGAGGAGCAGGCAUCUGCAUCUCCAGCAGCUUCUCCUGCAUCGUUCAUCGGGGGAGCACCAUCUCCAGCAGCUUCUACAGCAUCAUCCGUCGGGGGAGCACCGUCUCCAACUGCAUCUCCAACAUCGUUCAUCGGGGGAGCACCAUCUCCAGCAGCUUCUCCAGCAUCGUUCAUCGGGGGAGCACCAUCUCCAACAGCUUCUCCAGCAUCGUUCAUCGGGGGAGCACCAUCUCCAACAGCACUGUCUCCAGCAGCUUCUCCAGCAUCAUUCAUCAGGGGAAGCCCCACCUCCAGCAGCUUCACCAGCAUUGUUCAUUGUGUGAGCACCGUCUCCAGCAGUGAGGUCACACGCAUCUACCAGGGGCGUUCACCUGUACCACUAUAUAGUUUGUUUUGAGGCAUUAAACAUGUACUUUUGGCGUUACAUACUGUGUGUGAGUCCCAUCUGUUCCCUGUGCAUGGAGGCAUCAUACUUUCACUAGGCAGCCUUGUUUUCUCGCCGGAUCAGGAGGCGACAAUUGGUGUCCCGGAACGUGAUGUGGUGAGAUGGGUCCAGAGCGUGUGUGUGAGACAGCAACUCCAUUAUAGUUCUGAUUUUGGACAGU
rnacentral:lncRNA from 1 species